GUUUUUCGCUUGAGGAUGAGCCCAUGUGGGAUUAGCUAGUUGGUGAGGUAAUGGCUCACCAAGGCAACGAUCCCUAACUGGUCUUAGAGGAUGAUCAGUCACACUGGAACUGAGACACGGUCCAGACUCCUACGGGAGGCAGCAGUAGGGAAUAUUGCACAAUGGAGGAAACUCUGAUGCAGCGACGCCGCGUGUGUGAUGAAGGCCUUCGGGUCGUAAAGCUCUGUCGUAUGGGUCUAACAAAAUG
rnacentral:rRNA from 1 species